rnacentral:tRNA from 1 species
GGGCCCGUAGCUCAGCGGCAGAGCAACAGCCUUUUAAGCUGAUGGUCACAGGUUCGAUCCCUGUCGGGCUCA